AAACCAAAAUACAUAUUUAAAAAGGAUUGACGAGAAUGACCUAUUAAUAGAUAUUAAUGAAUACCAAAUUAAAAGUUAAAUCUAAUGACCACCAAUGUACGUCUAUGGUUAAGGGUUCACUGAAAACCAAAAUACAUGUUAUAAAAAAUAUAGACUAGAAAGACCUCAUAAAUAGAUAAAAAUAAAUACCAAAUUAAAAGUUAAAUAUGAAUGACUAACAACGUACAUCUUAUUAAAGAGAUCACUAAAGACCCAAAUCCAUGUUUAAAAAAAAACAUAGACUAACAAGACCUAUUAAUAGGUAUAAAUAAAAACCAAAGAAAAAGUUAAAUAUUAAUGACCAACAACGUACCCCUUUUUAAAGAGAUCACUAAAAACCAAAAUACAUGUUUAAAAAAACAGAGACAAGAAAGACCUAUUAAUAGGUUUAAAUAAACACCAAGGAAAAAGUUAAAUAUUAAUGACCAACAACGUACCUCUUUUUAAAGAGAUCACUGAAAACCAAAAUACAUGUUUAAAAAACAGACAAGAAAGACCUAUUAAUAGGUUUAAAUAAACACCAAGGAAAAAGUUAAAUAUUAAUGACCAACAACGUACCUCUUUUAAAGAGAUCACUGAAAACCAAAAUACAUGUUAAAAAACAUAGACAAGAAAAGACCUAUUAAUAGGUAUAAAUAAAUACCAAAGUAAAAAGUUAAAAACUAAAUGACCAACAACGUACCUAUUUUAAAGAGAUCACUAAAAAAACCAAAAUACAUGUUUAAAAAAACAGAGACAAGAAAGACCUAUUAAUAGGUUUAAAUAAACACCAAGGAAAAAGUUAAAUAUUAAUGACCAACAACGUACCUCUUUUUAAAGAGAUCACUGAAAACCAAAAUACAUGUUAAAAAAAACAUAGACAAGAAAGACCUAUUAAUAGGUAUAAAUAAAUACCAAAGUAAAAGUUAAAAACUAAUGACCAACAACGUACCUAUUUGUAAAGAGAUCACUAAAAACCAAAAUCUAUCUUUAAAAAAACAAUAUUAAUGAACAACAACGUACCUCUUUUUAAAGAGAUCACUAAAAACCAAAAUACAUAUUUAAAAAGGAUUGACGAGAAUGACCUAUUAAUAGAUAUUAAAUGAAUACCAAAUUAAAAGUUAAAUCUAAUGACCACCAAUGUACCUCUAUGGUUAAAGAGAUCACUGAAAACCAAAAUACAUGUUAAAAAAACAUAGACAAGAAAGACCUAUUAAUAGGUAUAAAUAAAUACCAAAGUAAAAAGUUAAAAACUAAUGACCAACAACGUACCUAUUUGUAAAGAGAUCACUAAAAACCAAAAUCUAUCUUUAAAAAAACAAUAUUAAUGAACAACAACGUACCUCUUUUUAAAGAGAUCACUAAAAACCAAAAUACAUAUUUAAAAAGGAUUGACGAGAAUGACCUAUUAAUAGAUAUUAAUGAAUACCAAAUUAAAAGUUCAAUCUAAUGACCACCAAUGUACAUCUAUGGUUAAGGAUUCACUGAAAACCAAAAUACAUGUUAUAAAAAAUAUAGACUAGAAAGACCUCAUAAUAGAUAAAAAUAAAUACCCAAUUAAAAGUUAAAUAUGAAUGACUAACAACGUACAUCUUAUCAAAGAGAUCACUAAAGACCCAAAUCCAUGUUUAAAAAAACAUAGACUAACAAGACCUAUUAAUAGGUAUAAAUAAAAACCAAAGAAAAAGUUAAAUAUUAAUGACCAACAACGUACCUCUUUUUAAAGAGAUCACUAAAAACCAAAAUAACAUGUUUGAAAAAACAGAGGCAAGAAAGACCUUUUAAUAGGUUUAAAUAAACACCAAAGAAAAAGUUAAAUAUUAAUGACCAACAACGUACCUCUUUUUAAAGAGAUCACUGAAAACCAAAAUACAUGUUGAAAAAACAUAGACAAGAAAGACCUAUUUUAGAUAUAAAUAAAUACCAAAGUAAAAGUUAAAAACUAAUGACCAACAACGUACCUAUUUCUAAAGAGAUCAGUAAAAACCAAAAUCUAUCUUUAAAAAAACAAUAUUAAUGAACAACAACGUACCUCUUUUUAAAGAGAUCACUAAAAACCAAAAUACAUAUUCAAAAAGGAUUGACGAGAAUGACCCAUUAAUAGAUAUUAAUGAAUACCAAAUUAAAAGUUAAAUCUAAUGACCACCCAUGUACGUCUAUGGUUAAGGGUUCACUGAAAACCAAAAUACAUGUUAUAAAAAAUAUAGACUAGAAAGGCCUCAUAAUAGAUAAAAAUAAAUACCAAAUUAAAAGUUAAAUAUGAAUGACUAACAACGUACAUCUCAUUAAAGAGAUUACUAAAGACCCAAAUACAUGUUUAAAAGAACAUAGACUAACAAGACCUAUUAAUAGGUAUCAAUAAAAACCAAAGAAAAAGUUAAAUAUUAAUGACCAACAACGUACCUCUUUUUAAAGAGAUCACUAAAAACCAAAAUACAUGUUUAAAAAAACAGAGACAAGCAAGACCUAUUAAUAGGUUUAAAUAAACACCAAAGAAAAAGUUAAAUAUUAAUGACCAACAACGUACCUCUUUUAAAAGAGAUCACUGAAAACCAAAAUACAUGUUAAAAAACAUAGACAAGAAAGACCUAUGAAUAGGUAUAAAUAAAUACCAAAGUAAAAGUUAAAAACUAAUGACCAACAACGUACCUAUUUUUAAAGAGAUCACUAAAAACCAAAAUCUAUCUUUAAAAAAAAAAUAUUAAUGAACAACAACGUACCUCUUUUUAAAGUGAUCACUAAAAACCAAAAUACAUAUUUAAAAAGGAUUGACGAGAAUGACCUAUUAAUAGAUAUUAAUGAAUACCAAAUUAAAAGUUAAAUCUAAUGACCACCAAUGUACAUCUAUGGUUAAGGAUUCACUGAAAACCAAAAUACAUGUUAUAAAAAAUAUAGACUAGAAAGACCUCAUAAUAGAUAAAAAUAAAUACCCAAUUAAAAGUUAAAUAUGAAUGACUAACAACGUACAUCUUAUCAAAGAGAUCACUAAAGACCCAAAUCCAUGUUUAAAAAAACAUAGACUAACAAGACCUAUUAAUAGGUAUAAAUAAAAACCAAAGAAAAAGUUAAAUAUUAAUGACCAACAACGUACCUCUUUUUAAAGAGAUCACUAAAAACCAAAAUAACAUGUUUGAAAAAACAGAGGCAAGAAAGACCUUUUAAUAGGUUUAAAUAAACACCAAAGAAAAAGUUAAAUAUUAAUGACCAACAACGUACCUCUUUUUAAAGAGAUCACUGAAAACCAAAAUACAUGUUGAAAAAACAUAGACAAGAAAGACCUAUUUUAGAUAUAAAUAAAUACCAAAGUAAAAGUUAAAAACUAAUGACCAACAACGUACCUAUUUCUAAAGAGAUCAGUAAAAACCAAAAUCUAUCUUUAAAAAAACAAUAUUAAUGAACAACAACGUACCUCUUUUUAAAGAGAUCACUAAAAACCAAAAUACAUAUUCAAAAAGGAUUGACGAGAAUGACCCAUUAAUAGAUAUUAAUGAAUACCAAAUUAAAAGUUAAAUCUAAUGACCACCCAUGUACGUCUAUGGUUAAGGGUUCACUGAAAACCAAAAUACAUGUUAUAAAAAAUAUAGACUAGAAAGGCCUCAUAAUAGAUAAAAAUAAAUACCAAAUUAAAAGUUAAAUAUGAAUGACUAACAACGUACAUCUCAUUAAAGAGAUUACUAAAGACCCAAAUACAUGUUUAAAAGAACAUAGACUAACAAGACCUAUUAAUAGGUAUCAAUAAAAACCAAAGAAAAAGUUAAAUAUUAAUGACCAACAACGUACCUCUUUUUAAAGAGAUCACUAAAAACCAAAAUACAUGUUUAAAAAAACAGAGACAAGCAAGACCUAUUAAUAGGUUUAAAUAAACACCAAAGAAAAAGUUAAAUAUUAAUGACCAACAACGUACCUCUUUUAAAAGAGAUCACUGAAAACCAAAAUACAUGUUAAAAAACAUAGACAAGAAAGACCUAUGAAUAGGUAUAAAUAAAUACCAAAGUAAAAGUUAAAAACUAAUGACCAACAACGUACCUAUUUUUAAAGAGAUCACUAAAAACCAAAAUCUAUCUUUAAAAAAAAAAUAUUAAUGAACAACAACGUACCUCUUUUUAAAGUGAUCAUUAAAAAACCAAAAUACAUAUUUAAAAAGGAUUGACGAGAAUGACCUAUUAAUAGAUAUUAAUGAAUACCAAAUUAAAAGUUAAAAACUAAUGACCAACAACGUACCUAUUUGUAAAGAGAUCACUAAAAACCAAAAUCUAUCUUUAAAAAAAACAAUAUUAAUGAACAACAACGUACCUCUUUUUAAAGAGAUCACUAAAAACCAAAAUACAUAUUUAAAAAGGAUUGACGAGAAUGACCUAUUAAUAGAUAUUAAUGAAUACCAAAUUAAAAGUUAAAUCUAAUGACCACCAAUGUACGUCUAUGGUUAAGGGUUCACUGAAAACCAAAAUACAUGUUAUAAAAAAUAUAGACUAGAAAGACCUCAUAAAUAGAUAAAAAUAAAUACCAAAUUAAAAGUUAAAUAUGAAUGACUAACAACGUACAUCUUAUUAAAGAGAUCACUAAAGACCCAAAUCCAUGUUUAAAAAAACAUAGACUAACAAGACCUAUUAAUAGGUAUAAAUAAAAACCAAAGAAAAAGUUAAAUAUUAAUGACCAACAACGUACCCCUUUUUAAAGAGAUCACUAAAAACCAAAAUACAUGUUUAAAAAAACAGAGACAAGAAAGACCUAUUAAUAGGUUUAAAUAAACACCAAGGAAAAAGUUAAAUAUUAAUGACCAACAACGUACCUCUUUUUAAAGAGAUCACUAAAA
rnacentral:lncRNA from 1 species